GAUGAACGCUAGCUACAGGCUUAACACAUGCAAGUCGAGGGGAAACGAUAGAGAAAGCUUGCUUUUUCUAGGCGUCGACCGGCGCACGGGUGAGUAACGCGUAUCCAACCUGCCCACCACUUGGGGAUAACCUUGCGAAAGUAAGACUAAUACCCAAUGAUAUCCCACGAAGGCAUCCGAAUGGGAUUAAAGAUUUAUCGGUGAUGGAUGGGGAUGCGUCUGAUUAGCUUGUUGGCGGGGUAACGGCCCACCAAGGCGACGAUCAGUAGGGGUUCUGAGAGGAAGGUCCCCCACAUUGGAACUGAGACACGGUCCAAACUCCUACGGGAGGCAGCAGUGGGGAAUAUUGGUCAAUGGGCGCAAGCCUGAACCAGCCAAGUAGCGUGAGGGAAGACUGCCCUACGGGUUGUAAACCUCUUUGUUUGGGAAUAAGUGUGGGACGCGUCCCGCAUUGCAUGUACCAUUUGAAUAAGGACCGGCUAAUUCCGUG
rnacentral:rRNA from 1 species